UUAAGUUAGAAAGGGCGCACGGUGGAUGCCUUGACACUAGGAGUCGAUGAAGGACGGGACUAACGCCGAUAUGCUUCGGGGAGCUGUAAGUAAGCUUUGAUCCGAAGAUUUCCGAAUGGGGAAACCCACCAUACGUAAUGGUAUGGUAUCCUUAUCUGAAUACAUAGGGUAAGGAAGACAGACCCAGGGAACUGAAACAUCUAAGUACCUGGAGGAAGAGAAAGCAAAUGCGAUUUCCUGAGUAGCGGCGAGCGAAACGGAACAUAGCCCAAACCAAGAGGCUUGCCUCUUGGGGUUGUAGGACAUUCUAUACGGAGUUACAAAGGAACGAGGUAGACGAAGCGACCUGGAAAGGUCCGUCGUAGAGGGUAACAACCCCGUAGUCGAAACUUCGUUCUCUCUUGAAUGUAUCCUGAGUACGGCGGAACACGUGAAAUUCCGUCGGAAUCUGGGAGGACCAUCUCCCAAGGCUAAAUACUCCCUAGUGAUCGAUAGUGAACCAGUACCGUGAGGGAAAGGUGAAAAGCACCCCGGAAGGGGAGUGAAAGAGAUCCUGAAACCGUGUGCCUACAAAUAGUCAGAGCCCGUUAACGGGUGAUGGCGUGCCUUUUGUAGAAUGAACCGGCGAGUUACGAUCCCGUGCGAGGUUAAGCUGAAGAGGCGGAGCCGCAGCGAAAGCGAGUCUGAAUAGGGCGUUUAGUACGUGGUCGUAGACCCGAAACCAGGUGAUCUACCCAUGUCCAGGGUGAAGUUCAGGUAACACUGAAUGGAGGCCCGAACCCACGCACGUUGAAAAGUGCGGGGAUGAGGUGUGGGUAGCGGAGAAAUUCCAAUCGAACCUGGAGAUAGCUGGUUCUCCCCGAAAUAGCUUUAGGGCUAGCCUUAAGUGUAAGAGUCUUGGAGGUAGAGCACUGAUUGGACUAGGGGUCCUCAUCGGAUUACCGAAUUCAGUCAAACUCCGAAUGCCAAUGACUUAUCCUUAGGAGUCAGACUGCGAGUGAUAAGAUCCGUAGUCAAAAGGGAAACAGCCCAGACCGCCAGCUAAGGUCCCAAAGUGUGUAUUAAGUGGAAAAGGAUGUGGAGUUGCUUAGACAACUAGGAUGUUGGCUUAGAAGCAGCCACCAUUUAAAGAGUGCGUAAUAGCUCACUAGUCGAGUGACUCUGCGCCGAAAAUGUACCGGGGCUAAAUACACCACCGAAGCUGCGGAUUGAUACCAAUGGUAUCAGUGGUAGGGGAGCGUUCUAAGGACAGUGAAGUCAGACCGGAAGGACUGGUGGAGUGCUUAGAAGUGAGAAUGCCGGUAUGAGUAGCGAAAGACGGGUGAGAAUCCCGUCCACCGAAUGCCUAAGGUUUCCUGAGGAAGGCUCGUCCGCUCAGGGUUAGUCAGGACCUAAGCCGAGGCCGACAGGCGUAGGCGAUGGACAACAGGUUGAUAUUCCUGUACCACCUCUUUAUCGUUUGAGCAAUGGAGGGACGCAGAAGGAUAGAAGAAGCGUGCGAUUGGUUGUGCACGUCCAAGCAGUUAGGCUGAUAAGUAGGCAAAUCCGCUUAUCGUGAAGGCUGAGCUGUGAUGGGGAAGCUCCUUAUGGAGCGAAGUCUUUGAUUCCCCGCUGCCAAGAAAAGCUUCUAGCGAGAUAAAAGGUGCCUGUACCGCAAACCGACACAGGUAGGCGAGGAGAGAAUCCUAAGGUGUGCGAGAGAACUCUGGUUAAGGAACUCGGCAAAAUGACCCCGUAACUUCGGGAGAAGGGGUGCUUUCUUAACGGAAAGCCGCAGUGAAUAGGCCCAAGCGACUGUUUAGCAAAAACACAGCUCUCUGCGAAGCCGUAAGGCGAAGUAUAGGGGGUGACACCUGCCCGGUGCUGGAAGGUUAAGGAGAGGGGUUAGCGUAAGCGAAGCUCUGAACUGAAGCCCCAGUAAACGGCGGCCGUAACUAUAACGGUCCUAAGGUAGCGAAAUUCCUUGUCGGGUAAGUUCCGACCCGCACGAAAGGUGUAACGAUUUGGGCACUGUCUCAACCAGAGACUCGGUGAAAUUAUAGUACCUGUGAAGAUGCAGGUUACCCGCGACAGGACGGAAAGACCCCGUGGAGCUUUACUGUAGCCUGAUAUUGAAUUUUGGUACAGUUUGUACAGGAUAGGCGGGAGCCAUUGAAACCGGAGCGCUAGCUUCGGUGGAGGCGCUGGUGGGAUACCGCCCUGACUGUAUUGAAAUUCUAACCUACGGGUCUUAUCGACCCGGGAGACAGUGUCAGGUGGGCAGUUUGACUGGGGCGGUCGCCUCCUAAAGUGUAACGGAGGCGCCCAAAGGUUCCCUCAGAAUGGUUGGAAAUCAUUCGUAGAGUGCAAAGGCAUAAGGGAGCUUGACUGCGAGACCUACAAGUCGAGCAGGGACGAAAGUCGGGCUUAGUGAUCCGGUGGUUCCGCAUGGAAGGGCCAUCGCUCAACGGAUAAAAGCUACCCCGGGGAUAACAGGCUUAUCUCCCCCAAGAGUCCACAUCGACGGGGAGGUUUGGCACCUCGAUGUCGGCUCAUCGCAUCCUGGGGCUGUAGUCGGUCCCAAGGGUUGGGCUGUUCGCCCAUUAAAGCGGUACGCGAGCUGGGUUCAGAACGUCGUGAGACAGUUCGGUCCCUAUCCGUCGUGGGCGUAGGAAAUUUGAGAGGAGCUGUCCUUAGUACGAGAGGACCGGGAUGGACGCACCGCUGGUGUACCAGUUGUUCUGCCAAGGGCAUAGCUGGGUAGCUAUGUGCGGAAGGGAUAAGUGCUGAAAGCAUCUAAGCAUGAAGCCCCCUCAAGAUGAGAUUUCCCAUAGCGUAAGCUAGUAAGAUCCCUGAAAGAUGAUCAGGUUGAUAGGUUCGAGGUGGAAGCAUGGUGACAUGUGGAGCUGACGAAUACUAAUAGAUCGAGGACUUAACCAU
rnacentral:rRNA from 1 species